rnacentral:lncRNA from 13 species
GCUCCCACUCUGUGCUGACCCAGUGGCAGGCUCUGGGGAUGCAGCAAAGAACCCACCCAGUGGCACCUGAAGCCAUGAGGAGCCGCCAUUAACAGCCCCAGCUCCUGUCACUCCUCCACCCGCUCAGGCCGGCUGUGAAGAUUCACCCAGGACAACGUCACUGCAGAAUUUUAUGCUGUUUUCCCCCUUCCAGGGUAACGUCUGCCAAUGGCUUUUACAAUGCUGAAUAAAAUGCCUUUUUUUUUCCCCUUUAGAUAUUUUUAUUUCACCUUUAAAAGAUGUACAGUAAGGGUGAGAACAUCUCGAUGAAAUUUCUGCAGUAAAUAACUCUUGGAUUCAUUUCCCAUGCAAGUGAAAGGACAAAAGGAAGCUAUGUUGAGAUGGUCUCCUCACCUGCAUGCCAAAGCCAGGGUGGGGCUCAGCUACCCACCCCCAGGAUUUAUGAGGAUGGUGAAGAGUGGAGAGCGGUUCCCGGGAAAGGAUUUAGCAUGAGUAAAAUCAAGGAGGGGUUGAAGAACUGUCAAGAGAUGAAAGAGGUUUGAGUGGGAGAAUGCUGAGAGAUGAGACUGGACUAAAUGUAAAUGACCUUGAAUGUCAGCCUGAGAGGUCUUUGAAGUCAGGGGCUGUGACUGAUUCAUUGUUGCAUCUCCUGUACCUAGCACCAUCCAGCACAUAGCAAGUGUUCAACAAAUAUUUUCUGAGAAAAUGAAU